UACAGAGGGGGCAAGCGUUAUUCGGAAUUAUUGGGCGUAAAGGGCGCGUAGGCGGCUUUUCAAGUGACGGGUGAAAUCCCUCGGCUUAACCGAGGAACUGCCUGUCAGACUGGAAGGCUUGAGACCGGGAGAGGUGAGUGGAAUUCCCAGUGUAGCGGUGAAAUGCGUAGAUAUUGGGAGGAACACCGGUGGCGAAGGCGGCCCUCUGGACCGGUACUGACGCUGAUGCGCGAAAGCGUGGGGAGCAAACGGG
rnacentral:rRNA from 1 species